rnacentral:rRNA from 1 species
CCAUCCUUUAAAGAAAGCGUAAUAGCUCACUAGUCGAGUCGGCCUGCGCGGAAGAUGUAACGGGGCUAAACCAGGUACCGAAGCUACGGGUGUGCCUGCAUCACUUAAGACUAUUCGCUUAACGUCGCGAAGCGACGUUCAAGCCCUCCCGAACGUCGAGUUCGGUGGGGAUGAAUAGAGUAGGCUUAAGGAUGCAGGCACGCGGUAGAGGAGCGUCGUGUACGCCAAUGAAGGUGAAUUGAGAAGUUCGCUGGAGGUAUCACGAGUGCGAAUGCUGACAUGAGUAACGAUAAAGGGAGUGAAAAACUCCCUCGCCGGAAGACCAAGGGUUUCUGUUCGACGCUAAUCGGAGCAGAGUGAGUCGGCCCCUAAGGCGAGGCCGAAAGGCGUAGUCGAUGGGAAACGGGUCAAUAUUCCCGUACCGGACAUGGUUGCGAUGGGGGGACGAAGAAGGCUAGAUGAGCCAGGCGUUGGUUGUCCUGGUGAAAGUCAGUAGGCUGAGGAGUCAGGUAAAUCCGGUUCCUCAAGGCCGAGAGACGAGACGAAGACA